rnacentral:rRNA from 1 species
UACGUAGGGUGCAAGCGUUGUCCGGAAUUAUUGGGCGUAAAGAGCUCGUAGGCGGUGUGUCACGUCGGCCGUGAAAACCUGCAGCUUAACUGUGGGCGUGCGGUCGAUACGGGCAUCACUGGAGUUCGGCAGGGGAGACUGGAAUUCCUGGUGUAGCGGUGAAAUGCGCAGAUAUCAGGAAGAACACCCGUGGCUAAGGCGGUUCUCUAGUACGGUACUGACGCUGAGACGCGAAAGCGUGGGGAGCGAACAGG